rnacentral:tRNA from 2 species
GGACAUAGCUCAAAAGGUAGAGCAUCGGCUUCCCAAGCCGAGGGUCGCGGGUUCGAGUCCCGUUGUCCGCU